rnacentral:lncRNA from 1 species
CCUCCAGCUGUGCCGCUGUUCCCCAGGGUCCUUGGAAGUCCUGGCCAGAGCAACAAGCCACAGAGCUCGGAAUAGAGUGACCACUGCUGAGAAACAGUCAGCAUCCUGGGAGUUCCAGCGGGAGAAAAUCUCUCUUCAGUGCGAAACCAGAAAGAGAUUUGGAGGACAAAUCCAGGCAACCCAACAUUCAAAGGAGAGGGGUUUCAGAAAAAGAAAGAAAAAAAGAACGUAUAAAGGGAAAACAGUAAUCGAACAAUUAAUUAAAGAACACUUUCUGAGCUGAAGAAAGCCUUGAUGAAAGGGGCUCAUGGAGCUCCAGGAAGGAUUAACUAAAAAGACAUAUACUUAGACCCUGGUGUAAUUCCUGAAUUAUAAACUUCCAGACAAAGAGGAGAGGUGCUUACAAAGGAAAAAAAAUCAGGUUGGUAUUGGCUUUCUCGUCAGCCAUCCUGCCACCCAAUCGCGACAUUGAUUUCAGAUACUUAAGGGACAAGGACAAUGACCCAAGAAUCCUAUAUCCACACAAGGUAUCAUUCACACAUCCAGGUGAUAACAAGAGGUGUCAGAGCUCGCAAAAUCCUGUACCCCAUCUGAGGAAGCUGCCGGAGAGAUGCUGCAGCCAAAACCAGGUGGAUUGGGGUGCAGCAAGGGAAACCAAAUGAUGACCUGGAGAUGGGAUCCAAAAUGACCUCAGCAAAGUCCAGCCAUUGGAGGACGGGAAGCGCAUGGAGAAUGAGAAGCAGAAAAGAGAAGGGGAGAAGACAACUGGAGGGCUUUCAUCUUGGUAGGCAAGAAAAACAUCUUGAUGGGAGGGCUGUGUCAAACACUUGUUUGAAAUUGAUAUGUCCGUGUGUUGGUUUAAAAAAUAAGUCCACAAAUUCUUCGAAGAUAUUCCCUUCAAGAGGUGGAGCUGAAUUCCCCUUCAGAGGAGUGUGGAAGGGACUUAGCAACUGUCUUCUGACCAACAGAAUGUAACAGCGUGAUGGGGUGCGACUCUGAGACAAAGCCAAAAAAGGCCCUGGGACUUCCUCCCCCGGACUUUCUCUGCUGGGAGCAGACCGAUGGGGGCCCAUGUCACGAAGAACUGAAGCCUCCUGCCAACAGCCACAUGGUGAGCCUGGAAGAAGACCCUACAGAGCCAUCAAGCUUCUGAUGACCGUGGUUGACACUUGUUUCCAGCCUCGUCAGAGGCCCCGAGCCAGACCACCCGGCCCAGCCACUCCCAGACUCCUGACUCUCAGAAACUCUGAGACACUAAGUUCCUGUUGUUUGAGCUGCUAAGUUUUGGGGUAAUUUGUUACACAGCAAUAGGUAACUAAUACAAUCUGUAAAGAAAUGCAGCUUUCUACGAUUCGUAGGGAUGGGAAGGUAACCAUUAUUGGGAAUGAAAAGUGUCACAGAAUUUCCAAAUUAAUAGGGCAAAGAAUGACGAGAAAUCUGAGCGAGCAAGCAAACGUGAGUAAAUGGGAAAGGGGAAAUAACAUAGCAAACA